GGAAUUCUUUGCUUUUAAUGUCACCUGGCUCAUACCAGUUCAGUUUUUUCCAAACUCUGUCCUGUCCUUGGCUCUUCAGUCUUCCUGUUUCAGUAUCAGCCAGUACAUCAAAAUGGCAAAUGUCUUUCUAAAGCAUUUGAAAGGAAAACAUCUGCUUUUCCUUCAGUUUCUGGCCAUUCAGAUUUCCAGUACAUAUCCAGCUAGCUUCUUCAUAUUGUAUUCAUGAAGGCAUCGGUCACAAAGAAGGUCCUAGUUAAGGGGAGCAUGUGCCAUGCAUGUCCUGGGAGAACGGUAUAUGAAUUGUAACCACCCAAACAGAUACUGAGGGAAGACAUUUUGUAGCUCCCCUUACAUUUGUUUUAACCAUGAUUUUAAUCAGAUGUCUAUAGAAUAACUCCAAAUAUUUGAAUUUCUGUCCAAAUUCAAUCAGAACUUCAAUAUGAAGUAUAUGAGUUUGUUACUGAAUUUCAGCUAAUUCUACUUUGGAGUUCUGGUCCCAUCAUCCUUUGGGUGACUCUUGCAGUGUAUAAUGAUGACUGAAUAACCCCUGUGAGGGUAUGUUGGCUCUCAUGUCUGACUGAUGCCAUCUUUGUAGGGUACCACGAGCAUGAGUUUUGUGACAACCAUAUAUGAGUUUGUGGAGAGGGCCUCUUACAACUGUGGCACACUUCCUACUUUCUCUUUAAACAAGAAAAGCUAUUUUUAAUAGCAAAAAUUUCUAUUUCUUUAACCAUUAAAUAGCCACUUCUGCUUGACUGUGGGCCACACCCAGGGAUGUGAGUGCAGAAAACACAUCUAAUUUGUCCUGUGAGACUCAGUGGACUUUGAGGUCAGUCACAGGCUCUGAGGAGGUGAUCAGUCUGGGUAUAGGUAUAAAGGAACUAAGAAAGGAUAGUCUCCUGGACUGCUUAACUGUUCAUUAAUAGUUUCUGGGGUGUAAAUGUCUAAAAGAAGCUGUGUCUCCGGUGAUGUCCCCUCAACUUCAUAAUGCAGAAUGUGGCAGAACUAACUUAACUCCUCACUACAGUUUUUUUUCUUGGUAAAAAGAAUGAUGUUUUGUGUGUCUAUGUGCAUGUGCAUGUGCAUAUGCAUGCAUGAGUGUGUACGUGUGUGCACGUCUAUAAGCUGUGUAUGUGCAUGGAUUGUGCACGUCUGUAGUUGGACAUGAGUCACAGUGUGUCUGUGGAAGUCAGGGGACAAUACUCAAGAUUCAACUCUCUCCUUCCACCAUGGGUCCUGUGACUGGAUCUCAGGCUUUCAGUUUCUUCAGGUACUCGUGAAGCCAUUUCACUGGCUCUGGAAAUUGUGAGUGGUGUGCACAUGUGCAACCUAUAUAGUGCUCUUGGGAAGGAAAGAGGCUUAAAUAGUGUUUUGGAAGUGAAAAACAAAACAAAGGCUGACUGCUGUCUCUGUGUUGCUGGCUCAGGCUUUGUUGACAACGAAAAUUAGUUUUUUUUUGAGGAGACAAUAGAUAAAAGACUCAAUUUGGGGUUAUUAAAAAUUGAAUUAUAUAUGAAGUGGUUCACCGUGGUACCCAACUUUAUUCCCAGGUCAUCCAGACAGGGAUCUAAAAUUGCAAAGGGAACACAAUGAUACAAACUCCUGGAGACUGUGAUUUGGACACUGAGCGAUCAGGGGAAUGAAAUUGCAGGCGUCGUGAGUAGUAACAAGGAUAUCAAGAUUUGUGAAGAAAUCUUGCAAGGGUUUCUUUUUCUUUUUCUUGGCUAGAAGCCAAAGCCAAGAAAGAAUGCUAGGAAGUAAAAAUGUCUUCUAAAGAACUGUGUAAAGUACCAGGAAACAGGACUCGGCAGUGAGCCUUCGAAGACCUCAAUAAUACAAGUUGUAGAUGUAAUUCAGAACUUCAGGCAAACACACUGUGUGAAGCGUCCCUGUUAUGAGAUUAUCAGUUCUUUGCCUGCCACUCAUCCAUUUAUUAAUUCAUUUGUUUACUUAUUUCUUCUUUAUUAAAUGCCAGGCAUAUUUUGGGGCUCAUAGUUGGCCUUAUUGCUAAAUAGUCUUUAUAAUCAAGACGUAUGAGUUACAUUUUUGAAGUGAACAUUACAUAAAAUGUUUUCCACAGAAACAGAGAGUAAAAAAGCAGAGACCAGAGAGGGUCUGAGGAGGGGGAUGGAGGAAGCUUUGUUAGUGGGUGGCGUUGGAUAGAAGGAGCAACCUCCUAAUUCUGUAGAGUCUAGGAAGAUGGUUUUGGUUAGCAGCAAUUCAGUGACUAUUUCAGAGUAGACACAAAUGAACGCUUCAUGUCUGAGGUGACAAAAUAUGCUGAUCAUCUUCACUUAAUAAUUACGUUUUGGUACAUCAGAGAAAAUGUAAGGAGUACUGUAUGCAAAUUAAAAAUAGAAAUCCUAAACAUUAUAGAAAAUAAAUGUCACCAGUUUAUAUAUACAAUCGAGUGGACAAAUGCCUACAGCUGUGUAUCUGUCAACCAUGAUAUUGUCAUGCUUUGGUCACCCCAAGAGCUCUUUAGUUCUAUUGUGGAUUUGCCCCACUUCCCUACCUUCCACUUAUCUUUUGCCCAUAUACUGUCCAAUUUUUCCUUAUAUUUUAAUAAGCUUAAGAAUAUAUAAAAACAUAGUCUCUGGUCUGUCUCUUUACACUUAAGACAAUAUUUCUAUGACUCGUUCAUUUUAUUGUAAAUACCAUAGGGUUAUUUUCCUUUCCUAUUAUUGAGGGACAGGAUUAUUUACGUGAAUAGACCAGAGUGUGCUGCUGGUAAUGGAUACCAAAACUGUUUCUGAUUUUUGCUUAUUACAAAUAAACUGCUACUAACUUUGACAUACAAGUCUGUGUGGACACAAGCUUUCAUUUACCUUGCAUGUUAGCUAGGGUUUAAAAUGUCUGCCGUUUAGCUUCAUGGAUACCUGUCCAGUUGUUCUAUAAAGAACUAGCUACUUUACAUUCUCACCAGCAGUAUAUGAGAAUUUCAGGGAACACUUACGAUGUUCAUACUUUAAACCAGGACAUAUCGUUGCUAUUUACUUGCACAGCAUUCUUGUAACUCACCUUCUAGUGACCACUAAUUUUGAUAAACUUCACAUACAAAUCUUCGAUUGAACCUCUAACUUUUAAAAUUUUACUUCAAAACGGUUUGAACACAAAUACUAACUCUCCUUGACAAAACACUAGCAAACCAAGUGUAACAGCACAUGAAGAAGAUUAUUUACCCUAAUCAAGUGGGAUUUAUUUCAGGGGUGCAAGGAUGGUUCGAGAUUUACUAAUCAAUAAUAUGAAAACUCCACCAAAAGAAUGAAGUACAAAACCAUAUGACCAUCUCAAUGAAUGCAUAAAAAAAUUAAAAUGCAAUAUGCUGUCAUCAUAAAACUCUAAAAAAUCAAAUAUUGAGUGAAGAAUUUCACAUAAUAAAAUAGUCAAUGGCAAGUCAAUUGCUGACAUCCUGCUGUAUAGGAAUGGGUGAUAGCAUGCCACUGAGAGCUAGAACAGAAGAGGGAUGCUCUAUUGGAUUAUCAAGGUAUUGUAAUUUUCAGUGUACAUUUCUUGCACAUACUUCCUUAAAUUAUUCCGUAAGUAUUCCAUAUUCUAAAGCUAUUGUAAUGGCAGUGCGACCUGUCUGAGCUUUUCAAAAGUUCAGUGCUCACAAUCACUGCUCGCAAACAGAAAAUAGGGUUUUGUGUGUGUGUGUGUUUGCACAUUAAUCUGUAUCCUGUGAAAAUACUAAGCCUACUCAUUUAUUUUAUCUGCAAGAGUUUUUUAUAUGGGUAAUCAGUUGUAGUCAUAUUUGUGUAAAGAUAAUUUUAAUUUUAAAUACUUUUUGUUUUUUUGUUUCAUUAUUAUCUUGGGUAUUUAGAGAAUAAAUAUAGUUCUAUUUGGGAAUAUAAGACUAUAAACUGAGAGUGGUCACACUUCUCUUGUCUCUGGUAGAAGGGGCUACUACUUAAGUCUUUCACGGUAAGCAGGGCAGUAUGUUUUUGGUUAGUUUAUUUAUAUUUUAUUUCGUGAUGAUAUCAGGUGACAAAAGUUGCCUUCUGUCUGCUGGACGUAGUUUCUCUCAUAAAUGAGGAGACAAUUUUGUCCAGCAUUUUUGUGGCAUCUCCUAAGAUGUUUGUUCAGAGGGUUCCCUCAUUGGAUUGAUCAGUCCUGUGAAUUAAGGAAUUGAGUUUCUUUCUCUGUAGCACUUCAUCUCUAGGCUUCUCUAGACCAUGUGCUUCCAAAGAGAAAUGAUCUGACCUUCGUUUUCCUUCAGUGGAGCCUAAGAAUAUCUUCUCUUGUUCUUUCAGGAUUGUGUUUUUAUCACUAGUUUUCAGUAACUUGGAGCAUCUUGGUGUGAUUUUUCUUAAUGUUUUUGUUGAGUUUCUUGAAUCUGUGAGGUUAUGAUUUUCAAAUUUCAAUGAAAUUUGGGGCAGGUGCUAUUAUUUUUUUCUAUGAAAGCUGGAAUUGUCGCUUAAGUUUUAUUUAUUUAAACCCUGUAGAUUUUUGUCCAAUGUUGAAUACUCAAGUCUUUUGCCGUCUUGCUGUGUUUGUGUAUCAUGGAUCUUUUCAGGGCGGGCAGUGUCCUACAUUUCUGUAAAGUAUACCCUCUGAAAUGUGUGUUCUUCUGCCCCUGAUCUCAGCAGUUUCUUCCCCACACCCUUCUGUGUUCGCAUCCAGGGGUCAACUGAAAUCUUUUGCCUACUCUUUGCAAAUAUGGCAGACUUGUUUCUUGACUUGCACACACCGUGGGCACACAUCCUUCUUCAAACAAUACACCUAGAAACCUUGGAACCUCCUCAACAACUUGCUUACCUUGAGUUCCACAUAUUCCCAACUCUGAAUAAAAGUACAGAUUUCUCUGCCCGUAGUAUAAUUAAUCAAAUGUAGGUAGUUUUCAUUAUUCUAUUGUCCCAAUGUAUUCUGGGGCAGAGUAUAACUGGGCCCACCUGACCUGAACUUGUUUGGGGUGCACAGAAGUAAGACAGUGCUCUUCAAAGCCUCAACACACACACACACUCCUACCUCAGCAGACUUUCUUUGACUCUAUGACCUUCUAUGAAACUUUCUUGGAGUUGUCAUGUUAGGUGUCUUUCAAACAGUGAGAGCUACAUGAAAAGCUGUGUUUAUUCCCAUAUUUCUUUCUCUCCCACUAGAGUAUACGCUUUAUGGGAAUAGAGACUUUAUUGAUUUUCUUUUGUUCAGUACCUAUAUAAUUUCUAGCACACAGUAAACACCCCAUAAAUGUUUUCUGCAGCAUCAGUGAGUGCAGAAAUUCUGUAUCAGAAACCCAGCAUGCCAUUAAUGUCCCUUAGAAUAUGUAGCACAAAUCUAUGAGUUCCCAUCAACUUUAUUUCCUUCAAGCUUGUCUUACUAUAUUUUGCUGUAAGUGACUAUUUUGAAGCCUUCUGUGUUCUUUUUACUUCUCUCCCCUCCAUGUGGGAGGUUUUCCUCUUCUGCUUCAAAGACUGCCUCAGAAUCCAUCUUCCUUAAGAAGCUCUCUACAAAGGUCACAUUGCUUUCCUUUGUGUUUCUUCUCAUAGAAUCUGUCUUAUCAAUGGUCCACAUAACAAUUCGAUGGUUUGUUUUACAUUCGUAUGUUAGGAAAGCAUUUUUGUGGUGUAGUUUUGAUUCCUUAACCAAACUAUAAAUCCUUCAAAGCCAAAUUAUAUUAAUUAUAAUUUACAAAUUAUAUUAUAUCAUAUUUUCCAAGCACUAUUGAUCUCAACCAGACUUUUAAGACAAAUUCUAUGAGGCUCAGAUUUUAUGUAGAUACAUAAACAUUAUGAAUUAGCUGUACUGUGUGUUUAUUCAUUUAAGAGGCUAUUUUGACUGUGUCAUUCAUUCUAUAAAUAUUUAUUAAGUGCUUUCUAUGUGCCAGGCACGACUUUCAAAAUGCUGAAGUGUUCUGUGUAUAUAUAUAUAUAUAAAACAACUUCAACAACAGAAUCUCUGACCUUUUUGAGUCUACAUUUUUUGAGAGUUGACAGCUAAAAAUUAAUUUAAUAAAUCAAAUGUAUCACGUUAGGCGGCGAUGUCUGUAAAGUGAGACCUUCAAGUCUGAAAGAGAAAAUGAUGUGUCACAAGCUUAAACUUUAAGCAUUAGUUUCUCAAAUUUUAUAAACAUCUAUCUGCCUUACUUUUGCGCAGAUAUUCUGACACCUGCAUGCAAACAAUAAAGCAUGAGUAUGUAGCAUUGAGAGGCAAGGAAUAUAAAGGACGCGGCUCAAUGUGGAACAGUUAGCAAACAAUAAAUACAGCCUUCCAACUUCAUCCAUCUCCCGUGUGCUUCCCAUGAGCCAUGGUGAUUGAGUUAAAGCUACCUUGAAACUGCUAAAGAGGAGAUUUCAUCCUUGACUUUGAAUACACAUACUGUUUGUUUGCUUGCUGAGAUCUGGUUAAAUUACUACUCUCUAGCGGCUCCUUUCUUAUUCUCCUGGGAAUUCUCUACACACCCAAUGUCUUUAAAUAGUCCUUUCGUAUACCUUUCCCCCCAGAAGCCAUUCUAGAUAGGACUUGUGUUUGGACUUCCUUGUGGAAAUUGAGUCUCUUCUUGGAUCUGUCCACUAAGACCUAUUAACAGGAGCAUAGUAUGGUUUUUAGAUCCAGCAUCUAUGCUUAUUGAAUUCCUGUAGAUUUUAGCCAUUUGCAUUGCUUAUGAGCUCCAACUUUCCUAAUCUUACAAUUCCAGCAGCGUGCUUUCAUUUCCUGGUCCACUUUAAGAAACCAGCUUUUGGAAGAAAGUUAAAAAUUGGGUAUUAACACUGGUUUUAUAGCACGGGCUAGAAACAAAAAAAGAGUAGUACAGGAUUAGCAAAUGUAUUGGCAGCAGAAAUAUUAAUGAUUAUAAAAAGUAAACAUCUAUUAAUUCAAAAAUCCUAAGUUGUGAAGGAAUAAUGGAUUUCAAAGCUAAGUAUUAUACAUAGUUUGAAAAUGUGAUAAAAUAUACUUCAAUAACAUUUAUAGGAUUCAUAUUUUAAAGAUGAGAUUAAUUUCUAUUUGUUUUUCAUUUUUAUAAAUGUCAAAGUAUAAUGUAUUAUGAAGAACGCAGGGAAUAGAAUUCUUGAAAUUUCCUAGGACAUUUAUAAUUUAUCAGAGCUGUCUGUCUCUCCCCAUCCUCCCCAAACAGCUGGGUAUUUUUGGAAUAAAAUAAUAAAAUAGAAUCUAUUCAAGAUCUAGGUAAGAUGUUGCCUGGGCCUAGGAAGAAAGAGAAAAAGCUUGAAAGCUGUGUUACAUGUCUCUGAUAUUUUUAUUUUCAUGUUUUUUUAAAGGCAUGAUUGCAUAUCUGUUUAUUUAUAAAAUGGUCAUUUAUUAGGAAUCUGGCUGUGUACCAGAUUCAAUUCUAAGGGAUGGGGAUACAGUAAUGAGGAACAUACUCCUCCCCUAAUGGUGUUUAUAGUUCAGUGAGGGAGACGUACAAUGGAAAGGAAAAUGCAAGACACAUACUAUGCUAAAUAGCAGCGUGGGCUAAGGAAAACAAACAAAACAAGAAACAAGGUGACCAGCGAAGGCUUCCAUGAGAAAAUGAGUUCAAAUCCAGACUCACAAGAAAAGGAUUGCAGGGCCCUUGGUUAUCUGGGGAGAGGAUAUCUGAGGUCAAGGGUAAAACAAAUGUGGAAGAUCUUAGGAAGGACUUUGUGUGAAGAGAUCUUAGGAAGGAGUAGACUUGGUGUGAAGAGAUCUUAGGAAGGAGUAGACUUGGUGUGGAGUAGCAGGAAGCUCCUGUGCCUGGAAUAGAUGAUUCUGCACUUUCUCUUUCCUUUGCCUCGUCUGCCUGCAGAACUACAGGCCUUGUUGAAUAAUAUACAACUGAACAAUUACCACUAGUUAGUGUGCCUGACUAAGAGGAGUAGUGAUUGCAGAAGGACCGUGCGACUGUGGCUCACUGAGAAGAAACAAUCGUCAUCCUCACAACUUACUAUGUUUUAAGUCACCUUAUGCAGUGCACUGUGAGGGCGAACUGUAUUCAGCCUAGGCCAUUGAGCUAUCAUAUAUAAACCAAUGUCUGAGAUUAGGAAGGAUUUAGUUACAUUCUCUGUAUACAGAAGAUACCAAAGUUAUGAAGCAUUGUGAUACUCCAAUUUUGCUGGGCUUUGAAUAUCUACCUCCCCUAUCAAAUUCACAUUGGAAUUAAAUCCAAAAUAAUAGUUAUUAAGACACCAAGUCAACUUGUAGCCUGGGUUUGAACUUUCUAACCUCUGAAACCAUGAUAAAUGAAUAUCUAUUAUGCAAUAUAAAGUGCUUCUUAAAGUACUUUGAAUAGACUAAGGUUUUGAUAGUACAGGAGUUUGAAUUACUGGAAUGACCUACAAUCAUCUUUUAAGGAUACAUAAAAGACAGUCUCUGAAAAAUUGUGACCAUUUUUUCUCAUUCUCUUGGCUGGCAUAUUAUUUUACAGUAUGUAAAGUCUGUGCCAGUUAUUACUCAUAAGGCCCAUUAGGCAUGAUUUUGCCAAUGUAGCUGACAUCGGAAUGUUCUGUGAAAUGUCACAAUGAUCAGAAUCUCGUUGGAUGAGAUUAUGCCAGACAAUGGAAGAGUUAUCAUUGUCUAUGAAGAUAUUCCAGUGUCCCUGAAUGGUGACAACAAAGAACUUGUGCUGAGAUUGUAAUUUAGAGAUAAAACGAAGGUAUUUGUCAGAGUAACGGUUAAACAACAGUGCCUCACUAAAGACAUUAAACCUGCAGCAGUGACUACAACUGAAGCUAUCACCUGAAUAGCUUUAUACAAACUCAUGGUCCUUCUGGAUUUUACAUAAGCUGAAAAAGGAGGAUUAAGUUGGACCUACCCUCUGGAAUUCUUGAGGAAUAUUCUAGAAUAUGAUUAUGACAGAUGAGUCUUAUGCAAAGGGAAGAACUUGUUGUGAACUUCCUUAGGGGAAACCUUGGUAAACAUGGUACUUUAUCAUUCUUUGAACCAAGUCUGUUAACUACAGCACCUAAUAUAUAAUAAUAAUAAAUAAUUAUAUGUGUAUACAUACGAUUAUUUGGUGUGCUGAUUUAUGCUAUCAAAAUGUUAUGAUCAAUUAUUCAUGACUUAAGAUCAAGUUCGGGUCAAUCUUGAAUCCUGAUUGACUGUGGAAAUUAUGCUUUGACUACAGUAAUUAAAUCCUAUUUGGCCCUGAAUAUUUCAGAAAUAAAUCAUCCUUUUUAAAAUUAGGAAACAAAUUUCAGUUAUCAUCCUUGGGUUAAAAAGAAUUGUCAUCAAACUCUGAGCUUUUCUAGGAGGUUAUUCUUCACUUGCUGUAAUCUCUCUGCAGAGAGUUAAGAUUUCUCCAACAUUCCGUUUCUGUCCAGCAAUUGUUCCUUUCUUCAGGUUUAUGCCAAGGAAACUUGGCCCUCUCACCCUGAUUCAAACAGGUUAAUUUCGAGUCCAUAUUUCAGAAAACCAUUAAUGGUUUGGAGUCCCUUACAGUUACUUCAUUCUCUGAUCUUUAUACCCAGGAAUUUGUCUGUUCCUUCUAAAUCAUCUAGAAUUUCUCAAAGGAAAAGAUAAUUCAUUGUCCUGUUGCCUAAAAGCAGUUGCUGCAGAUGUUUGGAGAGAAGGUGUAUAUAAACACCCUGAAGAGAUAAUGUCUCUCACCAGCAUGGAACUCACCAAGCAGGCUAGGCAGGCGAGGCUGCUCAGCGAACCCUAGAGAUUUGUCUGUCUCCAUGUUUCCAACCCUGGCAUUACCAGCUUGCUGCAACACACCUGGCAUCUGGGGAGAGAACUCAGGUCUCUAUGCUUGAGAGGCAAGUAUUUUACUAACUGAUCCAUCUCCAUAGUUGUUCUUUAUAUUUUUAACCUAAAAAGAAAAGAAAAAGAAAAAGAAACGUGUAGCUUCCUUUCAAAGGAUGAGGCUCUACAGAUUGUUAAAUUGCUUCAGGAGACCAGCUUGGUUAGAGGAGAGCCUUAAAAACUUACACGUGAAAAGAUUUAAAGCAUGAGGAAAAUCACACCUGGGCUGAUUCUAAAAUUCCCCCAAAAUGGGAUUUUUUGUUUUGUUUUAUGGGUUUUUUUUAAAUAAAAGGGCUUUUCUUCUUCUUUUGGUACUUGGUUGAAUUUCAGAACUUUAGGAAAUUCUUUGGGUCAUCUGGUUGACCUUUAAGCACUUUCUACUUGCCAAACUCCUAAUUUCUCUGAUAUAGAAUACAUUGGAUUUUUAAGUAGGGGCUUUCCAAUUUACCCUUAAGUUAUCCCCAUCUCUUUAUCUGGUGACUUCCAUUUUAAGAUUUCAAUUUUAGUGAGACAAUUUCAAAGACCGUUAUUCUAUGACAUUAACAUAUGAACUAAUAUUACUUUUAUUUAAUAAUUUGAUGUGGAGAAAAUAAAAUAUAAAGAUGGAAUGCCUAAUGAAACCAGGGUUUCCAGAAGGAAGAGCCAACAGCAGCAGUAAAUUAUAGUUAUUUUUUGACCAAGAAUUUAAACCUUGUUAUUAAAAUAUUAUUUCUUAUGAAAUAUUUAGUGAUUGAUUAUUUUACAGAUUUCAGGACAUAUCAUUUAGUAAACCACUUAGGAAAAAGAAUUCAUGUCUAGAUGUUUAGCAUAGACAUUUCAACAAUGAAAACUGUUUUUACACCUCAUAGAAGGGCUUAAAACUUACAUAAGAAAUGGUGUGGUGUCAGAGGCAGUUAUAUGAACAGGACAUCUCUACCAUCCCUAGGUUUGGGACAAUAGAAUUUGGUGUUGUCAGAAUUCAGAAGCUGGGUUGCCUGGUGAGAGUUGGGACUACAGCAGGAAGGGCAUAGUUGGUGGGAUCUAGUUUCUUUGGAGUUACUAAUUCCUCGGUAAACUCCAAAAGUGUCUCGGGAAUGUGUCCUAACUGUGAUUCUAAGAGAGGAAAGGGAGUGAAUUUAUCUGAAAACCUUCCAGUAAAUGACUGGAUUAAUGAGAACCAGUAGUGAUGUCAACUGACUCAGUGAUAUAUGAGUUCUCAGAGUCAGAGAUGAGACAGCUGGCCUAUUGUCAGUGUGCAGCUGGAUAGCUGCUCUAGAAGAGUGGCUGAUUGCAUGAUUACACUUUCCUCCUGGCUUAUUUCCUGAAGGUGCACUGUAUCCAUCCAUAAUGGGCAUGAAGACAUCCAGUGUCUAUAGUCAAGGUGUGAAACUCAACAACGUGGGACCACAAGCAUCAGGCUCAAUGUAGUGACGCUCUCUUUUUCCUGAAAAAGAGGCUAUUCCUGUCAGUAGCUUCUGAGUCAUGUCCAGGGAAGCACAGCCUCUCUCCAUGGAUUCCUACAGCCAGGUUUUCCUAUGACUCCUUGAAAAUGGCAGUGCAGCCUGAAUCUGCUUUAAUACUGGUUUCUUCCCAAGCUGAGUGAAUCUGACCCCUUUCUAACUUGGAACAAAUCACACAUACAAAAUGAAGAUGAAAUGCCUCCAUCCAGCUACAACAGGAUUGAUUUUUGGCUCCCUGGUAUUUGGAAUUCACACACUGAAACAGCAAAACUCCAUGACACGUGAUCCAUCAGACAGCAAGGCCCAAGGAUGCAGGGUGGUUUUUCUUCCAUGUUGCUUGCUGCUUUGUCAAAAGUUCUUAAAACAAGGCCUGUGCUUAGCAGGUAUUUAUCAGAAGAUUUCUUAUGAUAAGAUAAAUUCAAACGGGAAUGUCAUUUACAGAUGAUGUAAAGAAAUGCUAGCCAGAGGAAGAAGUGACAGAAAAAAAAUGAUAGCUGUGCAAAGCGACCAAGGAAGAGUUGAAGCCUGAAGGUCCGCCUGGAGAGUCUGAGUAAUGAAGAUGAAAACCACAGAUCAGAAGGAAUUCAAGGAAAUUUAUGCUCUGGGUUAGGCUGCUCCUCAAGGCAACAGCAUUAACAACCAUGGUGGUAGAACGGCAGUGCAGCAUCUAUCCAGAAGCCAAGGCAAUGCUGAGAGCAGGAAUCCACAGGACAGACAGUGCCCAUACUUAAUGUUCCAGCUGAGUGUGGAGAAGAGAAAUUGUCCAACAUCUGCCAGUUCAAGAACAAUCGUGUGUGACACGACUCCAAGGUCAGCUUGGUUUCUUAUAGCAUAUCUACCCACAGCCUUCAUGAAGUCAUGAACUCUCCCUGGGCAAACAGAGACAUCAUCCAGACCUUCUUCCUUGACUGCGUGCAGCUGCCUAAGGUGGGGAGCUGAGACAGGGGGCUAUAUGCAAGGUGGAACUGCAAACAGUGUAUGGCACUUAGCAAGUUAAUUAUUGAAAGCAGACAGGUACCCUGAAGAUGAACUGUCCAGAGAACAUCUUAACAGACAGUGUUAAGGAGAGUAGAGCAGAGUGAGCUGGGGACCUGACUGUUAUUGUCUUCAUGCAGAGAAAAUUCUGUGUUGCAGUUGCUUCCCAGAUGCACCUUUCUUAUUCUCAACGGUUUAAGUUUUCUAAGAAACGUUAAUAGAAGGGCAGACCAUUCUUUCGCCUAGGCUCAUUUACUGUAUAAUACAACUCUAUUCACCACGUUCUCUGACAUAUGUGCUUAGAUGGAGUCUAUAGCAUUGAUAAUCAACAGACCAAGGGUUGCAACUUCACUGCAGCCUGUUGUCUAAACUGACUUUUUUUAUUCCAUUAACUGGUGUUUUAUCUCAUUACUUAAGGAUCUUGAGCUCUUUUGUCAUCGUUGGAAAGUGAAAUGUAGGUGCGAAGAGAAUGGAGGGUUCUGCAUCAUUAGUGUUUUUAAGUUUUCUGUGGUCCAGCAGGUUCAGCCUGACCUAAGAACUUGUUAGAAUUUUAUCUCUCUUCCUUCAGCAAAGGAAAAUCUAGAUCUGGGAGCCAGUAGCCUACUUGCACCUUAGUAAGCCCUCCAAAUCAUUCCAAAGUAUGUUAAACAUGAAAAGCCCAAGAUCAACCACAAAAGCUAAUUUUAUUAAGCUGUGUAUUAGUUAGGGUUUCUAUUGCUGUGAUAAAAUAUCUGACCUAGGCAGUUUAUAAAUGAAAUCAUCUAAUUGGGCUCAAUGUAGAGGAAUUUUAAUGCAGCUUGUUGCUACUCCAUGUCUAAAAAACUUCAAGACCUGUGUGAUCCAUCUGGAAAGAUACACCAUUGGGGUUGGGGAUUUAGCUCAGUGGUAGAGUGCAUGCCUAGCAAGCGCAAGGCCCUGGGUUCGGUCCUCAGCUCCCGAAAAAAAAAAAAAGAUACACCAUUAAUCCCUCUGUCUGGAAUACAGACAUUUCCUUUGUAAGGUUAGUUUGUAGAAGGAAGCAGCCAUGUUUGAAAGAGAUAUUUAAUUGAGGUUCAGACAAAAUGAUAAAUCAGGGAAAGAUUUCACAGAAUGAGUCAGAGAUAGGAUACACCAAACUCUUAGGAUAACAGACUGGAAAGAGAGGUUAGUUAAAAGCAAUGCAGAGAUUGGUAGAUAGAUAGAUAGAUAGAUAGAUAGAUAGAUAGAUAGAGAACAGUUUUACUAGGACAGUUUUACAGAGACAGGUUGGAGAUGAAGGGCUGUUCAGUGAGUGCAGUUCAGUUGAGCUCAGGCCAUGCUGUGGAGUUCAAUUGAGUGCAGUUCCAUUCAGUCUGUUCAGUGAGUGUAGUCAGUGCAGUUUAGUUCAUGGAAUUCAGAGGUAGUUUUUCCAAGCAGAACAAUUUAGUGAGAAGCUGAGAGAAGCCAGUUUGAAUUAGUCAGCUUAGAGAAGAACUUGAGCCAGAAGAGCCGAGCUGAAUUAGCCAGCCAAAGUUCAGAAACAACAAGAAAGGGUGAGUUUUUUCAGCAAUAAGCCUCUGAGACAACAAUUACUUUUGCACUCAUGGUUUCAGAGGGUUAGGGUCCAUGAGAGUUAGGUUUAGCAAAGGGAUGGGGACAGGGAUAACUGAUAGCUCAUAUCUCCAAAAGUAACCAGAAUGCAAAAAGAACAGGAAAUGGCCACUCAAAGCUUGCCUCCAGUGAUGCACCUUUGCCAACAAGCUAACAUCUCUGAAUUCUUCCUAAAUAGCUCAACCAACUGGGGACCAAGUGUUAAAAUAUAUGAGCCUCUGGGGUAUGUUCUUAUUUAAACCACGACAAGCUGUAUCAAAACUUUGUAUUAAAAUAUACUUUUGUUGGAAUUGUUGUGCCUUUAAGUAUUGGGAGUCUUUGCUAUGCACAAGAGAAUUCAUUUGGAAAGAUUCUAUUUUAUAUGAUCCUGAACUCAUUUUGCUUGAUGUUAUUAAAAUACCACAUGGUCUUCUUGAGAACAGAUUGUUAGAAAUACAUUGCUUAAGCAGAGGUGAAUGCGUGACAAUCAAAAUCUAGCUGAAAUAUUUCCUAGUGAAUAACCUUGAGCCCUGGCAACAGGAAGUCCUUGUUCUGAGUUUUAUUUUAUGCCCUACUAGUUAGUUGACCUUGAAGAAGUUGUUUAAAAUGUCUAAGCCUCAGUUUCAUUCAUUUUGACAUUGGGAUGACAAUAAGAACCCUGACCUUGUGGAACUGUUGAGAGAGUUUCUAAGAGCUUUAUUGCAUGCUAAUGUAAGCAAAGUACUCAAUUCAGCGUUUGGCAUACAUGAUUUCAAUAGAUGGUGACUGCAAUUGUUUCUGCAGCUCCUAUGUCCUCAUCUGCUUCCAGACAGAAAAGUUUUCUAGACGUGCCCCAAACUCCCAGAAUAUAUUUCUUUAUCUCUAAGGCUAUGGGGGCUUCAGUCUUCUCACAAACUCACAAGGGUCUCAAACCAGAAGCUAGUCCAAGUAUGUGUGUCAUUUUUGUAUUUUAUUAUGGGGAAUAAACCAGCCUUUGGUUAGUUGUCCCCACCAGCGGGGACCCAGUUAUUCAGGGUCCCGAAGGGGCACUACCCUUGGGCCUAAAUGGGGGGCGAGAGAAGAAGGAGACCAAGCAAGAUUCUGUUGUCAAGGUCUCGUUUAUUGAGAGAAAUGUUCAGCAUUUAAAGCUCUGAGGCAGGAAUAGAAGCGGGAACUGAAGCUUAGGGUGGGGGAGUUUGGGAAAUGCCCAAGGAUAUAAGGUGAAUCACUACACUGCAAGAUAUCCUCCUAUAACAAAGAGGCAACAGUCUUCCGGGGACAUGUUCUUUGAAAAGGUUGAAGCCUUCUCAGGAAUCUGCUCAGGGACAUCCGGUGUAUUGCUCAGGCUGAAACAUCCUGUCAUUGCUCCCAGGGUCUUCCUGGGAGAGGCUUUAGUUCAACAAUCUCAUGUCCGUAUGGCAGUCAUUUCAAGGUUAAACCUCUGUGGCCAUGCAGCCCAGAGUCAAGUAGCCACCUUGAGCUAUGCAGUCACAAAGCGGCUAGGCCCAAAUCCAAUACGGCUCACUACAGUUAGGCAACCUUCUAGCCUUUGCCAAUAGCGGAUAGCUAUGGAGGGGUAGUGUGCCCGGAAAGACUGUGCAGUCAUCCCUUAAGUAUCUUUUCUUCUGGACCAUAAUGAUCAUUUCCCAGAUGAUAAUUGCCGUCAAACGAAACAUUUAGUUUCUGCUGUUAGUUGUGUAUCUGACUGUGAGUUCUGAGUUACUACAGAAUUUUUACCUGAAAAUAUGAAUAAUAAAAAGUGCUUUAUGCUGAGGUUAUUAAGUAGAACAUUUAGGAGAUCUUUCUGCAGUAAAAGGAAAUAUUUGAAUUUCUUGUCUAAGAAAAAUGUUCCCCUCAGCUGAUGGCUUUUCUGUCUGUCCUGUCAAGGUGGCAAAUAGAAUAAGGUUAGGAUGGCCAAAGAAGUCACAAUUAUGGUUGGAAAAGAACUGUGGCGAAACCCCAGCUAUGCUUCAGUCCAUCCCUGCGAUGAUGGGUUGGUGGGGACAUUACGUAUCCUUUCCAAGCCUUCAUUUGCCUUGUCUGUGAAAUCAAGAGCAUACAGAAAACACCUCCUUCAUGGUACUGUGCAUGGGCAUGAGAAAUAAAAGUGUAAUGUUUUGCUAAAAGGCUAAAAUUUUAUUUGUUGUGUUUAAUCUUCCAAGAAGGAAACCUCAAGACAGAAUUAGAUGUGCUCAAGAUGAAGUAGAAAUGUUUGUGAAGGACAAAGGAAGAAUAAAAGGGAGGGCUGUGAAAGACAUCAGCUCUCAAGGAUGUUCUGAUUCCUGAGAGGAGGAGAGGAAGGGAGGAGGGAAGGGCGAAAGGCAGAGGGGAAGGGAGGAGGUGGGGAGGGCUUGGGUUAGAACCCUAAUAUACUGACCAGCAUCUAGGGGAGGUGUGAUUCAAAUGUGUACAUGAUGGUGGAUUCAAAGGGGGAAGUUGCCGAGGGUAUCAGUCAAUUACACUUCCCACAGGACAGGAUCGGAGCACUUGUAUGUCCACCAGGAUGGAUUAGAGGUGUCUUGAAUUACUAUGGAGUGAGCUCCAUCCAAGGGAGUGGCCAAGAUACCUGGAAUCCAGUUCUUCCCUGGUUGCUAAGCCAUGCACCUAUGGUACACACAAUCUUGAAGAGAGCACCUCAGCUAAUCCAUAUGAAGGUCUAUCUGGUUAGGGGCCUCCACUCAAGGUAUCUCAUGCCACACAAAAACCAUAAUAUCUUUAAGCAUAAAAUCUCUAUGUGUGGCCUAUAUGUGCAUAUAUUAUAUGUAUGCACGUAUGUAUCCAUGUAUGCCUCCAAGAGUCAAUAGAAGGAGCUGCCUAGUAAGAAUCCACUGAAAUCGAUGCGUAAACUACUGUAGCAAUUAGUAUGCAUUAACUCCUCGGUAGGGAGAGACACAAACUGGGGCUCCCUUAGGACUAAAAAUGGGAGCUUUUGUAAUUAGUCAUUUGAAUACAAGAGCGUCUCUUUUAUUAAAAGCAGCCAAACUCAUCACCUAGCAGGAAGGGUGACGUUCUGAAGACUUAAUUUAUCUUGGCUUCUUUGUACUAGCAGCAUCUUUAUAAAUUGCCUCUGAAGCGAAGUGCGGCGAGGAAAGGCACGUGGAAAGUUCCAGAGGAAAGCUUUGUUUUCGCUGUGAGUGUGACGCUCCAUUUAUUAUCAGAAGGAACUGUAUCAAAUAUCCCAGUGCUGGAAACAAUGGUUAAAAGCAUCGUUUCAUUUGAUUCUUUAAAAACAGGGAUGUAAGCUGUUACCUCCCAGCACCCCAUAUAAAAGACCGAUUGUAUCAGAUUGUUUAAUCCUCAAGAAACAAAUGGCGCAGUAUGAUCUUGGUACUGGAUGGCUUUGCAGAUGCAUAGACAACGGGUGCAUAUUUGCGUGUGUCAUCCAUCCACACCACGGUCACGAAUUAGUUAACAGUCUACAUAAUCUUCAUGUGCUGCUCGAAGAUUUCAGGUAUUUUAAAUCUAAAUGAAGGCACUUUGCUUAUCCUGUGUAAAUGGAACUUACAAACAGAACUGCAAUUUCAUUUAAUAGCUAUAAACCAUUACUCUAAUGGUUUGACAAAUACCUAUGAGGAUAGACUGCAAUAUUUCAUCCAAGAAAGGGCUGAAUAUUAAAUAAAUGUAACCUCCCAAUGGGUUCUACUUUAACCCCCUACUAAUUUUGGAGGGAGGACUGAAAAGCUGAAAGCAUUUUAGAGUAAAUGUUAGGGGGCGGAUGCAGCAGGUUCUGAGGUACAGAUUAGCACUUUACCCUGGAAAUCACAAACCCUUUUCUUGCGUCCCAUCCCUUAGGCUCGCUCAUCACCUAUCACCGUCAUAAAGUGUAGAACUUAACUCAGGAGCCGGGGGCACCAUCCCUUCAUGGCUGACAUUCUGUCAAGGCUUUUAACCGUUUUCCUCUCCCUUGCUCAUACCACAUUCCUUGGAAAAACAAAACCAAUAUUUACCAUUUAUAGAUGUCCUCUAGAAUGAGAGCAAUGUAUACCUUAAUCCCAUACAGAACGUGACUCAUCUUUCUAUGGGGAGAGACCAUACCCAGCAUCUGGAUUCACUGACUAAAAGUACCAUCAAGGGAGUCUUUUUUUUUUUUUUUUUCAAAAAUGACAAAGCUCGUAGGUUAGAAAAUGUGAAGGUUGUGUGCAACCAGAAAAAUGAUUUCUAUAAUUAUCUUCUGUAAUUAAGGCAAAUUUUGAUGUGGGCUGAUUAUAGAGUGGGUUAAAAAAACGGGGAGGGGGGGGAGACAAUGCUCCAAGGACGGAUGUGUUCAAGGAAAUGUUGGAUGAGACAGGGACCGCGUGCAUUGCAUGCUGGGUACACUGCGGACUUACUUUCCUUUGAUUCAUGAACUUUCCCCCACCUGAGGGCAUGUCACUUGUAAAUACCACGUGUGAUUAUUUAUUCUGAUGUAAGGGUAGGGGCCUUUGUGAAGACCACAGAAUUGAUCAUGUUGGUAAUAACCCGAGCAAAAUAAUAGCAACUGCAAACCCUUUAAUUAUAACCGGCUUUGAAAAAAAAAAAAAAAACCUGAAACUGCUUGUAAUGGUUGCUUUCAUUUCUGUAGUUUUGUUUUGUGUUUGACAAGAGGGGAAAAGAAAGUGCUGAAAGCUGCUGAUUAUCCAGAAGCAAUUACCAGAGAAACCAAUCAAAAGGCAAUUUGGAUUUUUAGAAAAGUGUGACUUAUCAAUUUAUCCAAUGGAGUUUUUUCUUUUUUUCCCUAUUUCUAGCUAAUUGGAUGUGGUUUAAGAAAUCAUUUCACAAGAACACCGGUUUGGAAAAAAAAACAUUAAAAUGGACCAAUAAGCCAGACCAGAGACACGUCUGUCACUGUCAGAACGAUUGUCCCUGACACCAUGCCUAUUUAUUCCCGGAGACUCUGUGGAUUUCCAGAUUCUCUUAUGCUCGGUGGCUGCAUCUGUAGCCCUCCAUUCAGCAGCAACGUGCGAGCAGGGGGCAGAGAUGUGUUGUGCUGGUAAAAAAAAAAAAAAGUAUCCCAGUGAAAGUUUUAAAUUACAUAAUAUUUCUUCAAAAGACAGGAAAGGAUAUGAGAGCUUAUAAUGAACAGAUCUGAGACAGAUAUUAAUCCCCCUUGUAGCAUAAAUGAAAAUUUAAAGAAAAAUGAACAGUGCACGAAGCAUGUUCUUCCACCCUCUCACCUCCCUGAGCCCCGCCAGCAUACCCUGGAUCCUUGGAUAUGCAACAUGAGAUAUGUAUAUUGGAACAGCAGUAGCUACUGGAACCCACUCAACUCUUUGUAUAUCUAUCUAGAUCUAUCUAUCCAUGAUAUAUAUUUGUAUAUAGAUAAAUGUAUCUUUGCGUAUAUUAUAUAAAUAUAAUGUAUUGCAAAUAUCAUAGCACUUAAAUCUUCAAACAUUUCCUCCCCCAGACAGCUUGAGAUUCUAGUGCACAAGUGCACACUCAUGAAGACACACACAUUUCCAUGUAUUUGAACACACAUAUACGCACACACCCACACAUACUCACAGUCACUCACACACCAUCACUCACACGCACACAGGGUAUUUCAGAGAUUUUUGUUUCCCUCUUAUUAUUGGGAUAGAUAAGCUAUAGGCAAUUUCCUUCCCAUUGUGGUAUCAGUAGGUGCAUCUUGGAAGGUUCUUACGAUACCUGAAAGACGUCCUAUAUUAAGGGACAGAAAGAAAAGGGGAUGUGGCAGAGAGGGGAGUGGGAAGGAGACAGACAGGGGGUGAGGGAAGAGAAGGAGCAAGGGAAGACAACAAGAAAGGAAGGGACAGAAGGAAGAAUGCCCAGCAACCUUUGCGGUCCUGAAACAUGCUUUGUUCUGGAAAGGUCCUGAGGGCACGGGUGUACGACUGCCUGCCUCUCAAUAUUCUAUUUGUGAGAACAUCUUUUCAUUGAUCUCUGUCUGUAUGUCCUGGCAGUGUGCCGUGUUAAUUUGUUUUUGAGAUAUAGAUCCUUAGUGUUGUCGGCACUUGUGCCUCCCAUUAAGGGUCUUCCCUACGCUUCCGUUCGACUUCUUUUGCCGCAGACUCGCACCUGCUACUGGAGAUGGAACUCCAGAUAAAUCCAAACAAACAAAUGAGACAUGAAAAGUAUUUCCAGUGAAGUUUACUUCACGGGGGAGAUAUGCUUUGUUCUGACACGUAUGGAUGCCUCAGAUUUACUAACAAGUUCAUGGACCCUGAAAGCCAUUUAUCAUGCUCCCAAGAAAGUGAGAUUUCCACAUUUAUUUAUUGCUAAAAUUAAAAAUUAAAGAAAAAUUCUAAAUUAAGAUUUGGCUUAUUUAUUUAUUUAAACAUAAGAAAGUUAUGAUCAGAUUUGUUUUUAAGGUUAUCAUUUUGAGUACUUUUUAUAUGCUAUUAGUCUAGGUGUUACUUUUUCAUUAUUAUUUUUUUGUAUGUAUGAGUGUAUACUAUAUGUGUAUUUGUGUGUGUGUGCGUGCAUGUGUGUGUGUGUGUGUGUGUGUGUGUGUGUGUGUGUGUGUGUGUGUGUGUGUGUGCUCAUUUAAGGGUUCAGAAUCAAGUUGAGAGUCCACUGAAUCUCUAUCACUCUCUUUCUCUAUUCCCUACAGACAAGGUCUUUCACUGAACCCAGAGCUAGGCUGGUACCUCAGGAGCUCCAACAAUCUUCCUAUCUCUACUCCCCCUAGCACUGAGGCUUCAAGCACAUAUAGUUAUGCUCAGUGUAACUUACAGAAAUUUGAAAUCACAUCUUGUGUAUGUAUUCUGUGUGUUUAAGUGUGUAAAUGGGUACACACUCUGCUACAUGUGUGAAGGUCAGAGGAUAACUCGCUAGAGUCUUUUUUUCCAUCGCCUGAGUCCUGGGAAUCAAACUUGAGUCAUUAGAGUUAGCAGAAGGCCCUAUGUCCACUGAAUCAUCUUGCUACCCCCCACCAAAGAGAUUUGGUAACAUCACUUCAUGUUAUCCUUUCAACUAAAUAUCUUUUCCUUGUUUUAGUUAGGGUUUUACUGCUGUGAACAGACAUCAUGGCCAAGGCAAGUCUUAUAAAGGACAGCAUUUAAUUGGGGCUGGAUUACAGGUUCAGAGGUUUAUCAUCAAGGUGGGAGCAUGGCAGGAUCCAGGCAGGCAUCGUGCAGGCAGAGCUGAGAGCCCUACAUCUUCAUCUGAAGGCUGCUAGUGGAAGACUGACUUCUGGGUAGCUAGGAUGAGGGUCUUAAAGCCCACCCCCACAGUGACACACCUACUCCAACAGGGCCACACCUUCUAGUAGUGCCACUUCCUGGGUUGAGCAUGUACAAACCAUCACACCUCAUAGCACAGAUGAAGAAAGGCUGAGAGAAACCUGACGAUCCAUUCAUGGAUCACAGCGCCAGCCAAAUGACUCAGUAUUCAGACUAAUUCUGAAUGUUCCAGGUAGCAUCGGUAGCUGUGAGUUGAAGUCUCUCUGGGCUGUUGAAGGAAGCAGGAGUUAUACUAAAUUCUUGUAUCACUCUCUCCCGGGUGGAGCCUCAUAUGAAUCGAGUGUGCCUUUUCUGAUAUCAACAUAGUUCUCUUUAUUUUUGGGUAGAGUCAGUUUGAUAUGUAGGUAUGUGGAAGAAAAGGAAAUUAAAUCUGUAAAGACCCUUUAUAGAAGACUAAAGAAGCUAUUAUGAAUUCACAUGUGUGGGUAAAGGAAAUGUCAAUUAAAUCACAUUUGAAAUUGGAGUCAGGUCCUUCUCCUGUUCUUCUAGCUGGGGCAUUUUCCCAUCACUGUUUUUGCUGGGGGUAAAAACAUUGAUUUAGCUCAACUCUUCGAUAGAUCUGAAGUCCUGGUCACGUUAGGCCAGGUAUAAAGCAGGUAAUUUAUUUAGAGAUGCCCGGAGAGGGUUUGUUGUUAGAGAGAAUCAGAGAUGCUUGAUGGCUAUGCACAUGUUUCACAGACAUUUUCUCUUCUUUUCUUCUGUCUAGCGAAGUACACUUCAGACUUUCAAAACAAGGUGCUCAGGAAAAAUAACACUAUUUUUAGGCAGCCUCUGCCUUCCACUCUGCGUUCACUUAUCCUGUCUGUGCCCUGUCUGCUUGCCCUGUUGGCUUGUGGGCAGCUGAGGUACACAGAGACCCUUAGCUGUGGUCCAUAGCCAAGUGGUUAGGAUGCCCCUGCUUUGUUUAACUAAGGGUCCUGUUUUUCCAGAAAGAUGCCAAAUGAAAACUUGGUCCUUUUCCAAUCCACCGUUGUAAAGCCUUCCCUUGAAUCCACUUCCUGUUCAUUCCUUUCACGUCCAUGACUGGAAACCUGUCCAAGGAGGGAGCAGUAAACUGCCUCAUUGGAUUAAAGAUGUUAAAUUGUGAGGGUAACAUUGCUCUGCACACUGGAUUCUUCAUCUGUACUAAACAAAACCAACACAAUGUCUGUCUCAGUGUUUAAUCACAGCCUGAUGUAGCCUAUGUGACUCAGGAUAUGCAAAGAAAGGGACCAGGAACAGCAAGAGAGACAUUAUCCCUAAUCCUUUUUUUUUUUGUUUUUGUUUUGUUGUUUUUUUGUUUUUUUUUUUUGCAUUUUGACAUAAUUAAGUAAAGCUUAGGACUUUGAGCUGUAGAAUUUUGACAGUAAAAGGCAGAACAAUGUCUUUGUAUUUUCCUUAUCUUUACUAUCAUUUAAUUAGCUUUUUUUCUAGAGUCAGAAAUAAUAUCCACACCCCAUAUUUUAUAAGGGUCAACAAUUAUUAGGAGAGGCCUAGAGUAAGUCAUAAAAAGUGAAAUCUUCUAUGCAACAUUUCAGAAUUAAUCAGAGUGAGGUGACAUCACAUUGUGUGUAAAAUAAUAAAAUAAUUUAUGGAAUACUGGACACUUGGUUUGAGGUGGAAGUUUAAUAGCAGAGUGCUUGUCAAGGCCUUGGGUUGAAUUCCCAGCUCUCUCUCUCUCUCUGUUUCUGUCUCUCUGCCUCUCUGUCUGUCUUUGUCUCUGUCUCUGUCUCUGUCUGUCUCUGUCUCUGUCUGUCUCUGUCUGUCUCUGUCUCUGUCUGUCUCUCUCUCUCUCUCUGUGUGUAUGUGUGUGCACACGCACACACAUACACAUUUGUGUACCAAUGGGGAAAAUCAAUAUUUCUUCAACUACUAAAGAAAAUACCCAAACAUAAGGAAGAUUCCCUUUUUCUUUUAUGUUUAUUUCUCUGCAUAUCAACCACAUAAGUCUAAAUGUUCAACCAUUUAUACUAGACAUGGAGAAAAGACCAACAAUUGAUAUACAUAAAUGCCACCCAAAUGGCAUAUAAAAAUAAGAGGGAGCCACUGAGGACUGUCUUUUGAUAAGGGCAAGGAUGGAGUCAAACUGACUUGACCUUAAUAGAUCUCCAUUUAUAACAAUAGCAAAAAGGCCAAGAUGCUCGUACAAAAUGUUACAAACACCUACUUUUGGAUGUCAUGUCUGAGCUCUGGCUUCAGUACUAUGGAAGAUAGGAAAUUAAAUAAAAACAACCACAACACAACACAACGCAAAACAAAAGGCUCAAUAACCAAAAACUCAAAUAAACAAACAAAUCCUGGUGUUGAUACAUGACCUAGUUUUAUUUUUUCAUUCAUCGAAAUCCUAUUUACCAUAUCUGGUUUAUAUAUUUAAGAUAUAGUAUUUAUCAUGUGCCUGGCUUUAGGGUACACAUUUAAGGUGUGGAGACCAAUGUCAUGACUGCCACUAAAUGCAGAUGCUUAAACUGAGACUAAUUAAACCCAAAUAAAAUAAAAAACUUCUGUUAGUCAUAUAUAUUAUCUACAUUUACAGUGUUCAGUAGUCACCAUGGCUAGUGCUUCCCUAAUAGAUAGACCAACCUUGGAUAUAGACUGUGUCCAUGACUGUCAAAUGUUUCCCCAGGUCCCCCAGUGAUGAAAGAAAACUAUGAUUAUUAUAUUUAUAAUCAUAGCUAUAUAUAAUUAUUUGUAUUCACUUUAAAAAUAAGAAAAAGACAUGAGUAUGCUAUACUGCAGAGCCAUGGGAGAGAAAUUAAGUAUUGAAGACAGAUUUUAACAUGAUAGAGGGGGCAAGCCUUCUUUAAAGAGUUCUGAAGCUAAGACUUGAAAGAGGAAAUGAGGCUAGAUGAGUGACAGGAGUUUCUUGAUGAUGUCGUUGGGCCAUCAUGCUUUGCACUGGGUCACUGCCCUCUGUUAAACCUGUUCAUGCUUGUGUAAGUGAGUUGGGUCUGACUCAUAGAGAAGAUUCAGCUAUCUCAACAUAUCUGAACUAUGAAUUCUGAACUCCAGCCUCCAGGUCUAGCAGGUAUCAUCACGUAUGAAGACAUCCACCUGACACAAAGUAGGCUACAGAGCUGGCACACAUGCCGAGUCUGUUGGUCAGCAUGGUCUAGUCGCCUCCAUAAGAAAUUCAUUACAAAUGAUCAUUUUGUUCAAUGAGACAAAUUAAAGGAACAGUUACCGCCAUCCAUACUCAUGUCUGUCUCACCCCUUUCCCUCUCCUCCUCCUUGAUAUUGUCUUGAGGCAUCAAAACAAAAGUAAUAAUAUAGAAGAAAGUAUCCACUACCACUGUAUAAGAGAAAGUUACACGUGACGUCACUUCUAAUGACACGACAUGUGAUGAAGCUGUACAGUGAUUGGAGAGAAAAGGUACACGGAGAGUGGGAGAUUACUUUCAGCUAAAAGAAGCUUCGAUGAUUUCAUGGGUAAGGUGAGCUUUUUAAGUGAACACAUUAACUAUAGCUAACUAGUACACGAAAAGCCAUGCCUGGUAGAAUAGGCUGCUGAAUCAGAAGCUGUUUAACAUGGUUUAGGGAAGAAAGACAAGUUCCCUCAGGAAUACUCACAAUGAUCGGAAGAGCCUCCGGCUCCAACCCCUGAAGAUGCUCGAUUCCAGAGACAGAAAUUGUCCUUUCUUUGUGGAGGAAUCUCUCUGAAUUAAAGGGACCAAACCCAAAAUGAUGCAAGGCAGGUCUUACACUGGUGAUUGGUAAAGACCGUGGCCCUUGAAGUUAGGGAUAGAAACUCUGCCGUGUCCAGCUUCACAAGGUUGCAGCACAGAGGUCAAUGAGGGGAUGGAGAGGUCCACGGCACAUUGCCAGCUCACGCCUUCAUUGUUAUUACUGCUAAAUCACCACAAGAGUUUUCAAUUGUUAGUUCCUUGAAAUUUUAUUUUCUCUUUCCCUCUCAAUAUGGCUAAUAAACUCAAUGUCUUUCUAGCUUCAAGUUAUAAAUGAUAGAAUUUCCUCUCUCUCUCUCUCUCUCUCUCUCUCUCUCUCUCUCUCUCACUCUCUCUCUCUGUCUCUGUCUCUGUCUCUGUCUCUCUCUCUCUCUCUCUCUCUCUCUCUGUGUGUGUGUGUGUGUGUGUGUGUGUGUAAUGUAUCUAUCUGCAUUUGUGUAUGGGCAUAUGCACAGGCAUGUAUAUGUGUGUAUGUGGGAGUGACAUUGGAUAUGUUUCUUACUCUUAUCUUUUUGAGACAGGGUCUCUCAUUGAAACUGGGGCUCACUGAGUAGCUAGAAUGGCUGGCCAGUGAGUUCCAGGAUCCAUUCAUCUCUACUCCCAACGUGUGGGGCUGGCAGACAUGAGUAUCACCAUGCUGAUGUUUAUGUGGACUCGUGGGAUUCACACUCAGGCCCUCAUGCCUGUACAGUGGACAGUUUACCAAAGGCAUUAUCUUCUGAGGCCCAGGUUUCCUUCUUUUGAACCACAAUUCCUGAGUAUAUACUGUAUUUUCUUGGAGUAGACAUUAAGGUCUACUUAUUUUAUGUCUUGGCUGUUGUAAAUAAUGCUGCAGUGAAUGGUGGCUGAAAUAGCUGUGAUGUCACACUGAUAUGCUUAUUCCAUAUCCUUUGCAUAGAUCCCAAAAUGUGGGUUGCCAGAUCAUGUGAUGUUUCACAUAAAAAUAUUUUCUUUAAAGUUUUCAAAGGACAUGUCUUUUCCUUCAACUGAAAUAGUCUCAAGGUUCUGAGGACAAAACGUUCAGAUUGAAAUAGUAUAAGUACUGCUAAUUUUAAAGUACACCAUUUUGUUUCUUAAGAUAAUGAAAUCUAUGAGAAACAUUCUCUUCUGUUACAUUUAAUUCUGCUGGUUACACUUCGAUCUUUUUAUCAGAUGCUUUCUCUAUGCAGUCAUAAGGACAUAGUUUCCGUCAUGUAUGAUAGUAUAUACUGUGUAAGUUUCUAGAUAGUUUCAUUAGACUUACAAUACCUCUCAGUGUCUUUUCAGUGGUACUUGGUGAUGGGGUUUGAAAAAGUAACCCGUUCUCCCUAAACGGCUUCCUAUGAGAGACAGAGGAAGGAUGUUGCUUGCUUGCAGAUUCAUUCCAUUGUGCAAAUUCCACACAAGUAGCUCAGAUUCACCUAGAAGAUAGAAUAUUCAUCUCCAAUGGAACCAUCUCGAAAUAAACCGAAUCAAAACCACUGAGUUUUGAGAGCUGCUGCAGGUUACCGACAUCUCAGGCAGAGUUUCUUCCUAUGGGUUAUGGAUCCUGUAAGACCCAAACCAAAGUUGCCUUGCCCAAAUUUGUAAGUUGCUAAUUGAAACUGGAUUGUGAAAGCUGACUUCCUGUUGACUGUUUGUGUUCCUUUCCUGUAGCUCCAUCUAUAAAUCUCUGUGACGGGCUAGGAGCCUUUCCUAAAUAAUUCCCUAUGCAGACGUGCAUAUUAAAAAUAGCUUGUCAAGUCGACUAAGAGGAACACUCAGUGUUGCCUAGUCCAUCUCCCUACACAGACACAUUUUGACACAGUGUAUCUGAGUGCUAAUAAUGACAUUAGAAGAUGGUGGAGGGAGAUCUAAUUCAGCAUGCAGAAGUGACUUUGCUGUCAUCUCCUAUUUUCUGCACAAUUGACAGCAGAUACUUGGGGCUGAAUUUUUAUUUCAGGUCAAAUUUCCAAGGCAUGAGGCUGUCUGUUAGGAACAGAUAAGACCAAAACCAAUACGAGAGCACUUGUUGGAAGUGUCAGUGGUGCUGAGAAUUUGAAAGGGAUGCUUCAGUUUUCUGUUUAGGACAUGACAUAACAACAUAUGUUUUAGCAGCCAGAAAAACCAACCAGAAGCUCCCUGUCAUUUUCCUAUGGUUCCUACUGGGGAGACUUCAGAAAGGAAGUCAAAUUUCUUUGGGAGAAGAGUUGAUUUAAAAAAAACCCCACCAAUAUAGAGCCCUUUCUUUUCAUUUUAUUUUCCCCUAGCCCAGUAUUCCCCAGAAUAUUCCAAAUAAAUGCAACUUGCUGGUAAUUCUCAAAUUCUAACAGACAGACCAAUAAGCCUCAGCAUUUCACUUUCAUAGGUGAAAAGCUGUGUCGAUGGAGGUGAAAAACGGUUGGGAAUGAAAAGACGCAGGCUUAGAAAAUUAUUCACAGGGGCUGAUCCACCAAACUAAAUGGCAAGCUAAGAUGAAUCUCAAAGGGCGCUCCCUCAGUGUUCUGGGUUAGCCUCCAGGGUCUGGUGUUCGCUUGGCUAGCAAGCACAUGGCUGCUUCCUCCAGCUCAGAAAUGCCAGGCUAACAGUCACCGGCCCCAUCUAUGCUUGGUCCUAGCAUUUGAUUGUUCAAAGCCAUGGGUAUUUUCAUCAUCUUUUGCUACAUUAGGUUUAUUUUAUUUAUUAACAGACCGAUAGCCUUGCCCUCAAAGUAAAAAUUCUGAACAUUUUCACAAUCCUAUAUUGGAUAAGAAGAUUCUUUCCCUGAGAAAAUUCCUAAUGCCCAACGCCUUGGUGUGCUUCUGUGAGACUUUGACUUCAGGGGUUCUUUUUGCCUUUCCUUGACCUGUUUUUUAUCCCUAUCACUAUUUAAAUACUUUUUGUGGUGUUUGAAUUAAAGUCUGCCAUCUUCCUGUCAUUUCUCCUGGUGAAAGAGUGAUUUAAAGCCCAUCCGAGGACAUAAAGAUAUUGUUUGAUGUAUAGCUUUCCACCACUCAUCAUUAUAGAUGGUUCUUUCUUUGAAACAGAACCCUUGGGGAACCCUAAAUUCCAAAUGUGAAACUGCCUUACAGCAGACCCGAUUUGCAGUUUGUAACACAAGUGAACCCUCAUGAACUCAUUUAUCUCAGGAGACCCACGGCUCACAUGGUUCAUAGGCUCCUGCAGCCUGGCCUCCGGGAUGAGGGCAUCUCUAUUUCUUUUUAUACAUUUCUCCUUCACAGUUAGAUUUUUUUCUAACAUUCUACAUAAACAGUAGAUUUGUACAACCUGGUAGGUUUUACAACAUGAUCACCACAAGGUCUUUCUAUGAACACAUGUUCUUUAGCAGUCCGUGAAGACGUGAUUGUUCUCAUCUGUUUUUAUUCUACUUGCAAAACUCUCAAAGCUGUGGCCAGCCGUCUUCCUUCUAAGAAGGCUGCAAUUUUCCUCAUAAGUGAGUAUUGCCUAUAAAAAUAUAUAUAAUCCCUUUGGAAAUCUAUGUACCAAUUCCAAGAACUAACCAGUGCUUCAACUUUUCUAAAAACUUCUCUGUUUGAAUUUCUGUUGGAGCCAGAAUAGAAUUGUAAAGAAAGCAGGUUAUUGUUUAUCUCCCAACUUACUAAUUCAUAAUCAAUCAACAUUAUUUGUGACAGUGUUAUUAAAUGUCAUCACUAUUAUCUUUUUCUAUCAAUGGUCUAGUUCUAAGAAUUGAUCACCAUGAUCUUUCAAUUCUAAACAGUAAAUAAAACCUUCUACAAAAGGACAAAGAACCCCCGUACUCAGGGGAUGAAAGGAAAUGAGUAAAUUCCUGUCUCCGUAUGCCCUUUGAUUCUGUGAUUAAAAGCUUUGUUUAACAAAAAUUUUACGUGUGUGUGUGUGUGUGUGUGUGCGCGCGCGUGCGCGCCCCCACAGGCAUGCAUGUGUGUGUAGUUUUCUCGGGAAGCCAGAAGACGACAUUGGUGUCCCUGAAGCUUGAGUAACAGAUGGUUAUUAUGUCAGGUGUGGGAGAACUGGAGUCAGGUGUUCUGCAAGUGCAGCAGGUGCCAUUUACUUCUGAGCUCCCCCCACCACUUGUCCCUGGAAGCCAUUUUUAAUCUAUGAGAUUACUACCAGGCUAGAAGCAAUACUUCCAAUAGUUGUUUUUUUUUUUUUUUUUUUUGGACAGGGGGAGGCAUAAAAUUACAUAUAUUAUCUCGAUGAUUUUUGUAUCUUUAUUCACAAAUAUGCACUGCAAUUUAUAUAUAAGAAUUUUUCCCUGACUGAUCAUUUUGGUUUGUUUUACCUGUGAGUAAAUACUGAGCACUCAGCUGUUGGGACACUGCAGGAAGUGUUUUCUGGGAAUCAUUUGCUCCCUAACCAAUUCUAGAUGAGCAUACACACUCAGGGCUGUGCGCGUGCGCAUGCGUGCGCACACACACACACACACACACACACACACACACGUGCUUUGAAAACAUUUCUGUUCAUUAACAAGCUCAUGCAUUCUUAGCAAAUUUCUGCAUGCUCAUGGGCCUAACGCCUUGCGUCUUCUAUUCAGAUUGGCCUUUCCUCCCAUUGGGAGGCAAUUGCUAAGAGUGGGGAAAGCAAGCAGCAGCCACACAGGGCAAGUUUUCCCUUCAGAGGGUUUGCUUCUGCAGCUGGGAUAUUGUUGCAAGCAUUUGCAUGGCAAACCUUUGAAGACAUUCUCCUCUAUGGGCACCAGUAAGGGUGGUUAACUUGAAGACAGGAAAAGCUAUGUUUUUGAGGGUGGAUAGCAAGCUGAAAGGACCUUUAGUGAGACACCAGCUUGUAAAGUCUUCUCCAGAUAGUUAAUAUGCUAUUCUUGAGAACAUAGCCUAAUCCAACAUAAUCUCCCUCUAUCCUUUUCUCUAGCCUGGUGAGUGAGGAAGGGCUGAUUAAUUAUUCAUUCUAGUCUGUUCCCAGUUACAAGGAGGAGCAAACAGCAGAUAUGUAAUUUGCAGGCAUCUCCAAGUCAUAUUCUGACUGAAACCCUGGAAGUUUCUGGCUUGUUCUGACAUUGCUAAGCCAGGUACCAGGUCUGCAGGGCUUUCUGUGUGCCUCUGAUUUAAUUCUCAGAGACAAGGAAAGGCUGAGCCCGGUGAGAAGAGAAACCCAGCCAUGUAGAGCAAGACAGAGCAUGUAGAAGCCCUUCUUUGCUGAACACGGUCCAUAGCUACAAAGACAUUUCUUUGUACUGAGCAGAGUACUGAAUACCUUCAGCCUGAUAUUAGAUCUAUGAGAAAAACAGAUUUAGUUCACAAAACUCAUCCAGAGACUCUAUGAAAGUGUAAACCGUAUACAACUGAUGCCAUUUGUGGUUCUUAACCAGCUAUAGUGGUUCCUUUAAAAGUUAAUAUUUAUCUUGCCAUAAUAUUUACCUUCACAGGGUAACUGCUGCUAUUUUCCCAUGACUGCUAUGAAGAAUUGUAGUAAGAUAAACUCACCUCUAUAAGACAAAUGUCAGCUGUUUAAUGAAAACCACCACAUGAGUGUUCUGGGUUUACUUUGAAUCUGCUGAGGGUCUGGCCCUCAAGUAAAAUUGAACACACACGCGCGUGCGCAUGCACGCACCCACACACACACACACGCACACACACACACACACACACACACACACACACACACUUCUUAAUAGGUACUAGGGAUUACAAGAAAUGAAUUCUGGGACUGGAGAUGACUUAGGGAAAUGAUGGCUGGGAUGGAGGCACAGAGUCUGCGUUCUGUGUAUUGUCCCGAUGGUGGCAAGAGCCCUGAGGCUGGAGGUGAUCCAAACUCUCACAGCCGCAAGCUGGAGGCUGAGGUUAUGUCAGCAGCAGACUUUGCCACGUUUGUAUGCAAUUAUAGAAUCUCAGAAUAGACUAGGAUCUUUACUUCUCUCUCUCUCUCUCUCUCUCUCUCUCUCUCUCUCUCUCUCUCUCUCUCUCGUGUGUGUUUAUAUGAAUGCUGAA